rnacentral:tRNA from 1 species
UCUCGAUUCGUCUAGUGGUUAGGAUACCUGCUUGUCAUCUCAUAAAUGUGUUGAUUGAAUUCGCAGGUGGCCGGGGUUCAAUUCCCCGAUCGAGAG